rnacentral:rRNA from 1 species
UACGGAGGGUGCAAGCGUUAUCCGGAUUCACUGGGUUUAAAGGGAGCGUAGGUGGGUUGGUAAGUCAGUGGUGAAAUCCCCGAGCCUUAACUUGGGAACUGCCAUUGAUACUAUUAGUCUUGAAUACUGUGGAGGUUAGCGGAAUAUGUCAUGGAGCGGUGAAAUGCUUAGAUAUGACAUAGAACACCAAUUGCGAAGGCAGCUGGCUACACAUAUAUUGACACUGAUGCACGAAAGCGUGGGGAUCAAACAGG